AGGGUUUGAUUCUGGCUCAGAUUGAACGCUGGCGGCAGGCCUAACACAUGCAAGUCGAGCGGUAGAGAGGUGCUUGCACCUCUUGAGAGCGGCGGACGGGUGAGUAAUGCCUAGGAAUCUGCCUGGUAGUGGGGGACAACGUUUCGAAAGGAACGCUAAUACCGCAUACGUCCUACGGGAGAAAGCAGGGGACCUUCGGGCCUUGCGCUAUCAGAUGAGCCUAGGUCGGAUUAGCUAGUUGGUGAGGUAAUGGCUCACCAAGGCGACGAUCCGUAACUGGUCUGAGAGGAUGAUCAGUCACACUGGAACUGAGACACGGUCCAGACUCCUACGGGAGGCAGCAGUGGGGAAUAUUGGACAAUGGGCGAAAGCCUGAUCCAGCCAUGCCGCGUGUGUGAAGAAGGUCUUCGGAUUGUAAAGCACUUUAAGUUGGGAGGAAGGGCAUUAACCUAAUACGUUAGUGUUUUGACGUUACCGACAGAAUAAGCACCGGCUAACUCUGUGCCAGCAGCCGCGGUAAUACAGAGGGUGCAAGCGUUAAUCGGAAUUACUGGGCGUAAAGCGCGCGUAGGUGGUUUGUUAAGUUGGAUGUGAAAGCCCCGGGCUCAACCUGGGAACUGCAUUCAAAACUGACAAGCUAGAGUAUGGUAGAGGGUGGUGGAAUUUCCUGUGUAGCGGUGAAAUGCGUAGAUAUAGGAAGGAACACCAGUGGCGAAGGCGACCACCUGGACUGAUACUGACACUGAGGUGCGAAAGCGUGGGGAGCAAACAGGAUUAGAUACCCUGGUAGUCCACGCCGUAAACGAUGUCAACUAGCCGUUGGGAGCCUUGAGCUCUUAGUGGCGCAGCUAACGCAUUAAGUUGACCGCCUGGGGAGUACGGCCGCAAGGUUAAAACUCAAAUGAAUUGACGGGGGCCCGCACAAGCGGUGGAGCAUGUGGUUUAAUUCG
rnacentral:rRNA from 1 species